rnacentral:rRNA from 1 species
UACGUAGGGGGCAAGCGUUGUCCGGAAUUAUUGGGCGUAAAGGGCUCGUAGGCGGUUUGUCGCGUCGGGAGUGAAAACCUCGGGCUUAACUCGGGGCUUGCUUUCGAUACGGGCAGACUGGAGGUAUGCAGGGGAGAACGGAAUUCCUGGUGUAGCGGUGGAAUGCGCAGAUAUCAGGAGGAACACCGAUGGCGAAGGCAGUUCUCUGGGCCGUAACUGACGCUGAGGAGCGAAAGCGUGGGGAGCGAACAGG